AGAGUUUGAUCCUGGCUCAGAACGAACGCUGGCGGCAGGCUUAACACAUGCAAGUCGAGCGCCCCGCAAGGGGAGCGGCAGACGGGUGAGUAACGCGUGGGAAUCUACCUAGCUCUACGGAAUAACCCAGGGAAACUUGGACUAAUACCGUAUACGCCCUUCGGGGGAAAGAUUUAUCGGAGUUGGAUGAGCCCGCGUUGGAUUAGCUAGUUGGUGGGGUAAUGGCCUACCAAGGCGACGAUCCAUAGCUGGUCUGAGAGGAUGAUCAGCCACACUGGGACUGAGACACGGCCCAGACUCCUACGGGAGGCAGCAGUGGGGAAUAUUGGACAAUGGGCGAAAGCCUGAUCCAGCCAUGCCGCGUGAGUGAUGAAGGCCCUAGGGUUGUAAAGCUCUUUCAACGGUGAAGAUAAUGACGGUAACCGUAGAAGAAGCCCCGGCUAACUUCGUGCCAGCAGCCGCGGUAAUAC
rnacentral:rRNA from 1 species